ACUGCCCGGUAGCUAAAUGCGGAAGAGAUAAGUGCUGAAAGCAUCUAAGCACGAAACUUGCCCCGAGAUGAGUUCUCCCUGACCCUUUAAGGGUCCUGAAGGAACGUUGAAGACGACGACGUUGAUAGGCCGGGUGUGUAAGCGCAGCGAUGCGUUGAGCUAACCGGUACUAAUGAACCGUGAGGCUUAACCUU
rnacentral:rRNA from 1 species